GACGAACGCUGGCGGCGUGCCUAAUACAUGCAAGUCGAGCGGACGAUUCGAAAGCUUGCUUUUGAAUCGUUAGCGGCGGACGGGUGAGUAACACGUGGGCAACCUGCCCUGUAGACGGGGAUAACACCGAGAAAUCGGUGCUAAUACCGGAUAACACGAAAUGUCGCAUGACGUUUCGUUGAAAGGCGGCGCAAGCUGCCGCUACAGGAUGGGCCCGCGGCGCAUUAGCUAGUUGGUGAGGUAACGGCUCACCAAGGCGACGAUGCGUAGCCGACCUGAGAGGGUGAUCGGCCACACUGGGACUGGGACACGGCCCAGACUCCUACGGGAGGCAGCAGUAGGGAAUCUUCCGCAAUGGACGAAAGUCUGACGGAGCAACGCCGCGUGAGCGAAGAAGGCCUUCGGGUCGUAAAGCUCUGUUGUUAGGGAAGAACAAGUAACGUAGUAACUGACGUUACUAUGACGGUACCUAACGAGAAAGCCACGGCUAACUACGUG
rnacentral:rRNA from 1 species